AUUGAACGCUGGCGGCAUGCUUUACCCAUGCAAGUCGAACGGCAGCACGGGCUUCGGCCUGGUGGCGAGUGGCGAACGGGUGAGUAAUAUAUCGGAACGUACCCAAGAGUGGGGGAUAACGUAGCGAAAGUUACGCUAAUACCGCAUACGAUAUAUGGAUGAAAGUGGGGGAUCGCAAGACGUUAUGCCCCUGGAGCGGCCGAUAACGGAUGAGCUAGUUGGUGAGGUAAAAGCUAACCAAGGCGACGAUCAGUAGCUGGUCUGAGAGGACGACCAGCCACACUGGAACUGGGACACGGUCCAGACUCCUACGGGAGGCAGCAGUGGGGAAUUUUGGACAAUGGGCGCAAGCCUGAUCCAGCAAUGCCGCGUGAGUGAAGAAGGCCUUCGGGUUGUAAAGCUCUUUUGUCAGGGAAGAAACGGUGGGGGCUAAUAUCUCCUACUAAUGACGGUACCUGAAGAAUAAGCACCGGCUAACUACGUGCCAGCAGCCGCCGUAAAAC
rnacentral:rRNA from 1 species